rnacentral:tRNA from 1 species
GGAGUUGUGCCUGAACUAAAGGAUUACUUUGAUGGAGUAAAUCAUGAGGGUUAAAGCCCCUCCGCCUCCU